rnacentral:rRNA from 1 species
ACGGCCGUACCAUGCUGAAUAUACCGGUUCUCGUUAGAUCACCGAUGUCAAGCAUCAUUGGGCGCGGUCAGUACUUGGGUGGGUGACCACCUGGGAACACUGCGUGCCGUU